UCCCUCAGUAACUGCGAGUGAACCGGGAAGAGCCCAGCGCUUAAGCCCCCGUCCCUCUCGCGGGACGACGGGCAAUGUAGCGUUCGGGAGGAGCCGUGUUCCGUCCUCGCGUCCGACCGAGCCAAAGUCCCCCUGACUGGGGCCAUCACCUGUAGCGGGUGCCAGGCCCUUAAGGCUUCGAACGUACGGUCGGCCGAGGAAUCGGCUUAAUGGGAAGAAACGAUGGACGAUGCCUCCUUCCUCUUUUUCUUUCUCCGGAGAGAAAAACGAAGCGAGUCUUCGCCUGAAAUCGAUUUCUUCCCGCUCCCUAGAGUCGGGUUGCUUGAGAGUGCAGCCCUAAGUUGGUGGUAAACUCCAUCAAAGGCUAAAUACUGACCACGAGACCGAUAGCGAACAAGUACCGUGAGGGAAAGUUGCAAAGAACUUUGAAGAGAGAGUUCAAGAGUACGUGAAACCGCUCACAGGCAAACGGGUGGGACCUCGAAGGUCGAACGGGGGGAUUCAACCCGUCGUGCCGUCUGYGCAAAAACGGUGCAUCUAAGAAUSUAUGCUGCGAUUCCGGAGUCUCUCGGGGCGAAGGAGUCCAGCUUUUUUUCUUAGUCGUAAGUCGCCACACGCCAGCUUUUUGCGGCAGCGUGCCGGCGGGCGCACUUCCCCCCCAGUAGGACGCCGCGAGCACUCGGGUCGAUGUUCAGAGGCAGCCAUACGG
rnacentral:rRNA from 1 species